rnacentral:rRNA from 1 species
ACGCACGCUGGCGGCGUGCUUAACACAUGCAAGUCGAACGGAAAGGCCCUGCUUUUGUGGGGUGCUCGAGUGGCGAACGGGUGAGUAACACGUGAGUAACCUGCCCUUGACUUUGGGAUAACUUCAGGAAACUGGGGCUAAUACCGGAUAGGAGCUCCUGCUGCAUGGUGGGGGUUGGAAAGUUUCGGCGGUUGGGGAUGGACUCGCGGCUUAUCAGCUUGUUGGUGGGGUAGUGGCUUACCAAGGCUUUGACGGGUAGCCGGCCUGAGAGGGUGACCGGCCACAUUGGGACUGAGAUACGGCCCAGACUCCUACGGGAGGCAGCAGUGGGGAAUAUUGAACAAUGGGCGGAAGCCUGAUGCAGCAACGCCGCGUGCGGGAUGACGGCCUUCGGGUUGUAAACCGCUUUCGCCUGUGACGAAGCGUGAGUGACGGUAAUGGGUAAAGAAGCACCGGCUAACUACGUG